AUGGCCGGAUCUGGCUUUAGCUCGCACAAGCCUGUGUGCGGCGGGACGGCCCAGCCAGGUUGGCUCGUGUUCGCCGAGUUCUACGUGCGGCGGUGGCAAGAUCAAAUUGGCAAUGCGACUCCACGGGGGAGGGCUGGAAGGCCCGGUGGUGGUGGCAAUGCCCAGGGAAGAGGAGGGCCAGCCACGAAGCCUAGACGCAAGAGAUUCAGGACUACCAAUGAUCUGCACACUGACCAGACUCGACAGGAGCAGGUCAUCCCUGAAGAUGUCGCUGAACAGGCUGAAUGUGCCGGCAGAGUCCAGCAAGACCUCGGUCUCAACAAGGAGCCUGCCAAUUUGAACAAGGCAGCCGGCGGCGACGAGGGCGGCGGCAGGGCUGCCGAUUGCUCGGGAAGGGGCGGUGAUAGUGCCGCCGACGGAUCAGCACAAGCGGCACACAAAAGGGCUGUUAACUGUUCUGCUACUGUCGAAAGAGAAAGCCCAGCUUCGAAGCCUAAACGAAAUGACAUCCCAGGAGCUAUUACUGAAGGUGUUCAGACCAUGACGAUAUCGCCGGUGCCAAAGAGGGUUGCACUUAAAUUUGAGCAGCGGAAAAGCAGAGCAGGUUGCUAUGACACCCCAUUAGAGUGGAAAGUAUAUCAGACUCUCAACGGCUGUUAUGGCAUACCAUCGGUACACUACAUGGGUCGUCAAGGAGACUACCACACUCUUAUAAUGGAUAUGCUUGGUCCUAACCUCUGGGAUGUUCGGGAUUCACUGGAACAGAAGAGGAUGCCAUUUCAAAUGGUUGCUCGUAUUGCCGUUGAUGCCAUAUCAAUUUUUCAGAAGAUUCACUCCAAAGGGGGAACAAUUAGAUAUGCCAGCGUCCAUGCCCAUUUAGGCCGUACAGCUAGUAGGAGGGAUGAUCUGGAGUCACUAGCAUACACCCUUUUGUUUUUGUUAAGAGGAAGCUUGCCAUGGCAAGACUGUCAGGGAGAUAACAAGAGCUUUCUUGUUUGUAAGAAGAAAAUGGAGACUUCUCCAGAGGUGCUGUGUAGAUCCUAUCCAACUCCAUUCAAACAUUUUCUUGAGAUGGUUACUACUAUGAAAUUUGAUGAAGAGCCAAAGUACCAAAAACUUAUUUCUCUCUUUGAUGAUUUGAUCGAGAGACCUGCUUCAAGACCCAUCAGAAUCGAUGGAGCUCUAGAGGUUGGACAUAAACGUGGAAGAAUUGUCGGAACUCCUGAACAAGAUGAAAAACCUAUGAAAAAAGUUCGGUUGGGGAGCCCAGCAACUGAAUGGAUGUCUGUUUAUAAUGCUAAGCCACCCAUGAAGCAGCGGUAA
rnacentral:rRNA from 1 species